CAGUCCCGCUGGGGAGGGGGACGGCUGGCCGGGUCACACUCUGCCUCCGGGGCUGCCUUCGGGGUGCCGCUGUGGCAGUGCACGGUGCGGCGCUGGACGCCCCGGCCGCAGGACACCGAGCACUGGAGGAAGGGACAAAAGAUAGAUACUAAAAGUUGCAAGUUCUCCAGACAAAUCAGUGCUGCCCCACUGCUAUCCAUGAAGCUUCACUGAUUUACAUCACCUGAGGAUGUGGCUCAGAACUUUUACCCUUGAAACAUUCAAGAGGACAGAAGUGAUGUGAAAACCAGCUUCUAACCAAUUUGACAGAGGAAGAAUAUCAAAGGGUGCAAAAGGGUAUACAACACGUCUCACCUGUCCCCAAUCUCCUGCUUUCCACUUCGGACAUCUGCCCCCUCUGCAUUUCUUUUGCACAUUGGGCUUAGCAAGGUGCUUGCAAUAAUCUUCUUCUACAUGCCUCCCUUCCUUUGUCAAACAGUACACAUUGCGGUGCCUUUGGCCCCUUCCACAGGAGACAGAACACUGUAAAUAUAAAGUAACAACAGAUCAGCUUUCAUGCAGGGCCAUCUACAUGGUUAUACAUGGGCCAUGGCUACCCAGGCCAUUUUCUUUUAAUUGGACCAAAAAGCACAUCCCCAUGUCCCCAGCAGCCUAUGCAAAGCUUGAGGGGGAUACAGAAGGGCAGAAUUUAACUGCUGGAAAUACUCGCAUUUGCACUUAAUAUUGCAUGAUAUUCUCGGUCAAAGCCCCUCAAAAUGCCAAUAUCAAAAUAGAGAAAGCAGCUGACAUUCAGCAGGGAUAACAGGCUGGAUUCCUGACAUUGCUCCAGUGGUUUCAAAGGAGCAGAGUCAUCUUACAAGGAUCAAGGCAGGAGCCCUCAGUAUCUGCUUAGAAGAACUUGAAAGGGACCAUUCCCAUUUACCUUGGUACAAAGGGAGGUCAAAUGUUGGUAAAUCAGGAGAAUAAAUUGCAAUAUACACCUUCACAGAGGGAAAUAACUGCACAAAGGACAAGGCAGGAGACAAAAAAAUGCAGUCUUUCCAUGUCCUCAAUAUUUGAGCUUAUGUUUGUUUUACUGAGUUUGUGGGGUAUUUGUUUGUUUGUUUUUUUUUUGUUGUUGUUGUUUGUUUGUUUUUUACUAAACAGACUGAAACCAGGACAUGCUCAUCCUUAAGAUUUAUGCAUUUUGAAAACAACUCAGAAGGUGGCAAGAAGGCAGAGCCUGAAGAAUCAAAGCAAAAAGCAAAUCAGCAGGCAAUGAAAAUCAGCAGCAAGAAAGAAAUGUCAAAUCCUACCAAACCCGUUGUAAACUUCUAAUGUUUUCAUUCUAUUAAGUCUUUGGGCUAAAGGCCAAUACUGAUACUUUAGCAAAAAUCCAAGUGCUCCUUAGUAAGUGGUCUCCAUGCAAGUUAAUGCCAUUUCACUGGGACAGCCAAAGCUCAAGGGUAAAUUCACACACUUGAUCAGGACUCUCUCUUGCCCCACAUCCCAAGCUGGUAUAGUCAAACACAUCUUUUAUCUAAUUUAAAAAUACAUUGGAUCCACAACUUACUCUAAAGGAAGAAAAUCACAUUGUGCAACAACACAAGCAUGUUUUUGACCUGAUGUUGAUUGAUAAAUAUUUAGUCUCAUAAUUAAUAUGGUGCUAGUCAUUUCCAAAAUUAUUAUCUCCCUUCUACAAAUUGCUUAACUUUGGCAUGGAUUCUGAUUCUGACAUUUAUUUCACCAUCCCACCAUCAAACAAGCCUACAUGCAUACCUCAGUGCACCCAGAGCUUGAGGCAUAAUUUGCUCAAUUUUGUUAAUACUUAAAAGUAAUUCCCAAGAUGCUGGAAUGAAUGACUUCCAUGCCUGUCUUUAACGUAAAUCAAAGUUAGGCAGCUGUGUGUUUUUAGAUCUAAACCACCCAUUUGCUUUCAUGAACACGUGAGUGAUGAUCUCAUUUGCACUGACAGAAAAGAGAGGUAAAACAACCUUAUGUAACCAAGAGACUGAAAAUUCCUUUGCAAAGAGUCUACUUCAUAAGUGCCUUCUAAUUUGUCUCAGGUGUUUCCAACUUUUAUUCGGCACGCAGAUUUUAAUCAUAUGUUAGCCACAUGCAGAAAAUAAUUUAAUAGUGAGCUUCAUCUCAACACCAUGGGACUUAGGGAAGCAACACACCUAGCUACUGACAUCAGCCUCAUCAUUUAUUUCAGAUCCUGGAGAAACUUUACAUUUUGCUAUCAGGACUCUUUUCAUCACUGCAAACACUGCUGCCUGUUUACAGUAUCUAUUGAUAACAGUGCCAUAGAGAGGUAAGCUUUGACCUUGCCUUCUUUAAAACAUUUGAAUAGCACAGACAAAACCACUCCUUUCAUAUUUCUCUUUAUUUUUCCUGAUUGCUUUCCUAGCCCCCAUCUCCAUAGAAAAUACUUCAAAGUACCGGGCAUGGAUGGGUGGCCCUCUGUGCAACACCACCUCAUCCAAAGCUCUUUGAAGUCAACAGAAAGAUUUCUACUAUUUUAGUCACCUCUGGAUCCAGCCCUGAAGGUGUAGCCAAGGUACCGUAUUGACUUUUUUCCCUAACCAGCUUCCUAGAGUCAAGGAUCACAUGCAUUUGAGCAUGCCCAUGGUCAGCCUGUCUCUGCCUCCACUCGAGUGCUGGAAAAUGUUGCUCUGAAAUACUGUUUCCAGCCUGUGGUUGAAGCACAGCAGCAAAUAACACCCCUGGGUGAACCUGGAAGGAUAGCCAGGCACAGAGGAGGAUGCAAAAACACCAUGUUGUGUUGUUUCUUAAAAAAAAACCCGAGAUGACUGUGACACAUAAAAUAGUAGAGAAGUAUUAUUUCAAAAAUCAGCUAUGGCCAUUACACUGAAGACUCUAGUAAACCUUCCUCUUGUUAUUAUCUUUAUUAUCUCCUAAAAUCACUGCAGUCACACCUGGUGCUUUACAUGGAGAAUAAGAACGAAAGGACUUUCCUAAGAGCAUUAAGAUCAAAGCACUUGAGCAGAGAUUUAAGGGUAUUACGUUUAUUGCAUGAUUAGUUUUGUUAACAUGCCAAGAACCGGGGAUUGGCAUGCUGCUGUGUUUUUUUUCAAAUAAAUAUACUGCCCAGUUUAUAUAAAUGCAAGAAAAAAGUUUAAAUAAAUACAACAAAAAUAUUUCCAUAUCAACAGUUUCCAGAAAGGUCAGAACACGAUGCUAAAUCUCUCCUGCAAUGUAUUGCUCUGCUCCAGCGCAGCAGCAAGCCUGUGUUUUUGUUUCCACAGAAAUUUGUUUUCUAUUUCAGAGUGCAGGAAUGACGAAGGUUAUUUUACUAAGUACAUGCAAAUUGCUUUAAACUACCACUUGCUGCAUUCCCUAUUCUGAUACUUUGAAAGACGAGGGUACAUCUUGUUCAGUAAGAACUCUCAAACAUAAGAAGGCUCCUACCUGAUUCACCAGGCCGGUAGCAGAAAACAAAACAGAAUAUGUACACCAAAAGCUCUUAAAAAUGUGUAUAAAAUUUCUGGCUGGUUGGGCUGGGUUAUGACCCUCCUGCAGUGGACUGGGACCUGCUCUUCCGCACCGGGAGCUUGUGCUGCGGCUGUGCCACUGCCAUGCUGAGAGCUGGGAGCAAGGUUUGUCUGACACCGAAAGGACUCAACAACCCAGGGCACAACUUCGCAAAUCUUGAUGAAAAGAAAAAGGCAGCACAGAGCAAUCAAGAGCUACAGAGCGGCUCUGCUUCUCCUUAAUUUUCUGCCCUGAACAAGCAAGCUCAGAUAUGGGAAAGAAAAAUCAAACCACCAGCAAGAACCUGGGGACAUUAUCCCCCAAAAGUGAAAGGUUUCAGAAAAUGCUGUCAGACCACUUACCCAGCAUCAGCCAACGAUUUGGGAGGUAUUUGAGAUAAUGAAUGCAAGCUGGAGUGAUCACCAGAUGAAUUCCCAAAGAUAGGUAUGCUCCCAUAGCUCACCAAAGGCAGGGCUGGGAAGAAUUAGACUGAAAACGGCUUUAUCAGAUUCUGCCAGGAGCAACUUUUUGGAGGAAAUUAAAAGCAAUCCUUGUGGGUUUAGAUUUCCACACAUUAAAGAUUAUGUAGAAAGUAAGUGCUUGUAAGUAAGCCCUUGGUCAUCCUUUCCAACAAUCUGAGCUGAAAUGUGCUAGAUGAAAUAAAACAGAGAAACGGCAGAGCCCUACAUGCUUUACGCCCUCUUCCCAUGAAGGGUUGUGCUCCUGGAUGUCAAUGAACUUCUCCAGCUACGGGCAGAGCCAAACCACAUACCCUCAUAGUUACAUUUCAGCAUCCUAUUAGUCCACGUCAGCUCUUACUAUAACUCAUGCUGCCACUAUCAGAUGCUGAAAUCACAGCUGUAUGACAUCUGUACCUCUGAAGCCUUUUGAGCAGAAAAGACAUCAGAAAACACACCACCAUAGGAAGCCUGGAUCAUUCCUCACCAGCUGAACCUUUACAAGAAGUCUUAAAACGCCUGGACCUUUGUGUAUUAUCCAGCAACAGAGGCUCUGUGGCAUCCGAAUGAACUUAAUUAACUUCGCAACAGUAAAGUAUUUUAGCAGGUACCUCCUUUGGAUUGAGUGAGACAAGUAACAAGCUUAAAAUAAGGGUGCAGCUCCAUGGUAUGGUUUCUCCAGCGGCUGCAGGAGUUGUUUGGGAAAUGUUUGCUCCUAGCUGCUUUUAAACCAUGUUCUUUCCACCUUUAGCCAAGUCUCAUGCCUGGCUGCAUCAGCAGAGUGAGAAGACCAUGUAUGCAGGGUGGGAACCUGGUGCACAGGAACAGGAUCCCCCAGAUGGACUUUCCUUCCCUGCAAAACUGUGAGAGGGAGCUACACCUUAACACACACAGCUGCUGAGAGCGCAUGGUCACGGUGAUUUUAGCUGGUACAAGACCAGAAAAUACAGGUGAUUUUUGUACAUUUAAAAGGGAAAAAUAGUCUCUCCAUUCAAGGGAGGGCAACUAGACCAGAGACCUGAGCAAAACAAACCAAAGCAGUGCACUGCAGUUUAAAAGAGGCUUUAGAAAUGCUUAAUCCAUGCUGACUGCCCGAAGAAAUGUACUUUAGGGAUUUAUGGAGUGUGUAGUCCAAGAGCAUCAGCGAGCAUUGCCCAGAACCCCUGUGCAAAUGUUCUGAGGAGCCCUCCCGGAGUCAAAGGGUGGCCCUGGGAGUGCACAAGAGCAGGCUGAGCCACAGUGUCCCCGAGCAGUGCUCCUCACCCCGGGCAUGGGUGAGAUGGAGCACCCAUGCUGGGUUGUCCUGGCUCUGCAGCACACAUGGGGUAUCCAUCCUCUGGCUGCUCUGCUCGCAGCUCUGCAGCGGGAACAGAGUUUCCCAAGUGAUGAUUUGCAAAAGGGAGAAAUAAAACAAUCCAAUAAACCUUUACCUUCCCGCUGCUGAGCUAGGCUGCAGAGACUUGCAAGUGACUUCAGAUGAUGUCUCAUAACAGGCAAAAAAAAAAAAAAAAAAAAAAAAAAAAAAAAAAAAAAAAAGAAAAAGAAAAAUUGAAAAAAAAUAAAAUAAGAGGAAAUUUCUCAAAGGAAAAGGUACAGCUCCAUGUGUUGUUGUAGCAGGGGGAAGAGGCUGGCGUGUAUGAAGCCUGUUCCUCCAGCUACACAGACUGUCCAGAGGAAAGGAUGCUCUUGGGCUUUUUAACUCCUGCAAGAUUUAAGGUCCUGAGCACUGAAGUUAAUAUAAUAAUUUACCAGAGCUGAGAAACCUCUCAGGAUUAUGGGAGAAAAGCAGGUAACUACAGCAGGAGAAGCCAUGCAUCUCCUCUUCUAUGGUGUCCACCUACUAAGUAGCACCUUCUUUCCCCAUUUCACCUGCCCUGUUGUUACAUCCUGUACAAAAACUUCACCAGGUACAGAUAUCAGGAGGGCUAUGAACACACAAAGCUGCCCUAAAAGCUGCAUCUCUGCCCCAGUCCAUGCUAUAUAACUUGAAAAAGAAACAAUACAAAGUCCUCAAAUAGCCACUGCAGGCCUCUCCAGGGAGGGAGACGUUGGAUGGCAUUUCCUUAAAUUAGGGGAUGUGUGAGUUACCCAGCACUCCAGUAUAAUGUGAUGUGGAAGGCAUUGAUGAAGCCUGUUUUCCAUACUGUGGCACUUUUAAGACAGCAGCAACUGAAGCAGCAAGCAGCAUAGGCUGACACUUCACAUUUUUAGUGAACAGUCUGGCAUUACAAUGGCAUUUAGAAGUACCAUUCAAGAAUAGGAUUUCUCUGUGUCAUUGGGAGGGAAACACGAGGUAAAGAGCUCUCCAAGGAAUGUCAGCCCUAUUGCACAGGUGUGCAUCACACAGGGGGUUUUUGUAGGAGUGCUGGGCUGCUUUUUGCUCCCCGAUUUUAUAAAGAAAAAUCUUGGCUUAAUGCAGCAGGGAUUAGAUAGUGUCAUCCUGAAUAUGGCUUAAUGCAGCAGGGAUUAGAUAGUGUCAUCCUGAAUAUGGGCAUCGGACAGAUUUUCAUCCAUGCUGCUGGCUCACACACCUUCCCUGUUAGCUAGUAAAAAUUAAAACAAGAAUAGAGCAUUAAGUGUCUUUGGAACAAGAUUGACUACAUUGUUUUUCUUUAAUGACAGCACAAAUCAGUCACAAUGAAAGUUAGAAAUACAGUAAAUAUAUCUGUGCUUAGUGUCCCUCAUCAUCACACAUCCUUGCUUCUAAAUGCUACAAUCCCUAGGAUCUGAGCAACAGCUUUUAUUGGAGUUUGUGGUAGGCUGUGCAAAUGUAUAACACGGGCAAAAUUUCUUCCUAAGGCCCAUCUCUGGGAUCUGCUUGAAGAUGCUGAACUUCCCAGCUCAUCUUUGGAUGUAUGUUACUGUUCUAAAGCGUCUUCUGCAGUCUAACACAUUUCAAUUGCUGCACUUAAAGCCAGUGCUUUAGGAGACAAAUGUUCCCAGCAAUUACCCUUUUAUUUAUUGUUUUAUUUCUCCUGUGCGUGUGAGUGUGCACAUAUGCAUGCAUAUAGGAGCUCUGCAGACUUUACAAAGUCAGCAGCCGUGGAUGGGCCAACCUUGACAUGAGGACUACUGCCAGGUAUCACUGAAUAGCAGUCCCACCAUUUGUUCAAGUUCAGGCCAGCUGUGCACAGCCAAGAAAAUGACCAUCUCAUCUAGAAAAUGUGUAAGAGGGGAGGUAUAGAAAGGCAACCACAAAGGCACACUAAAUGAAGCCAAACAGCCAUGGUACUUCUCUGGGAAGAGAAAGGCAAGUAUUUCACCAUAAGUUAGGACAGGAGCAUGGGCUGGACUAUACGUGGUAAGAAACAUCAGUGAAUUCUAAUGAGUUACUUACUCAGAAGAGCACUGGGAAACUUGGGAAAAGAUGCAGCAUCUGGGGGUGGGGGAAGAAGAAAAGUUUCAAGAUAUAAGAAAACAACCUUCUUCAGCCCAGCCACUGUUCCAGCUCACUUCUGUCCUUGCAGAAGCAACAGGAGAGGAUAUCGAAGGAGAGCAGAUAGGACUGGCCAUUUUCUGCAGCUCCUUACCCUGACACUUCCUCAGCAUUCAGGCACUGGAUUACAGAGGUUAGAGGGGAUGCUCCUGCCUGGUCCUUUCAGUUCUCCAUCACACUAAAAGACACUACACUUAAACAUCAGGUCAGAUCACAAUGGGUGCAAAGACUGAGGGGUGCCUUGCAAGGGAGGAGUGUGAUUUGCAACAGCUGAGCAUUAAGUUGCAGGAGGCAAAGCACUUACGUGCAGGCUCAGUGUUAAGCACACAGUGGUGCAGGGUGGUCCCUCUCCUGCAGUGCGGCAGACGGGCUUUGAUAGUUGUUUUCCUGCCAGUGGAACCUCAAUACUAGCAAACAGGAGACAGCAGAAUCAAUAGCAAAAGCAUACUCACAUAGUUCUCCUUAUUUAAGGAGAAACAGAAGUGGCAAUGAAAGAUGUCCGGUGAUGACAGGCAAACAACAAAAACAGAAAUGAAAAUAAAAAUCAGAGAUUUUAGAAGUAGCGAGACAAGAAUAAAGUGAUGUUCCUCUACCAGGCACCUGUGUACCACUGGCUCCACCCUCCUGUAAGCAGUUUAGAGACACCAGUUAUGGCCCUGAGCCUUGGCUGGGACAGCAGGCAUGGAGCUGAGUAAAGAGCUGCAGGAACAUCCAUCACUGCUGCCUCAGAGGAGCAACAGGCUGGAACUCUUUGAACAAAAACCCCAACUGCAUCCGCUAUCUGGGAUGAGUUCUCAAAAGGGAAGAGGCAGUGAAUGGGUGGGCGGUAAGACAGCUAUCACUCAGGGAUGUGCAGUUUUGGGGGGGGUGGCCGAAGUUGGGCACUGGGAUACUCUGGAUGGGUGACACACAGGACAGAGUACAGGAAAUGGCUGAAAUGGGUCUGGUUUGCCUUUUUAAAUGAAAGCAAAGAGGUCCGCACUGUCAAAAGUCUUUUUCUGACUGGCAAAUCAAAGCAGACAACUUCUCGCCUUUUAUCAGCUCACUAAACUGGCAGUCCCUGGCGUCAGUCGGUCUGACUGAUCCUAGAGGGGAGGCAGCCGGGAACCCAAGAGGGACAUAAGCCUCGGUGCGCCAGCCUAAGCGAACAGUGAACAGCUCUGAGAUGGAGACAGCUUCAGGCAGACGGUUGGGGAUACUCAUAGGCUACCAAGUUUUCAUUUUGGUCUGGAUCAGCUUUAUUCAAUCAUGACUAAGGCAUCUACCUGUUUUUCUAAAGGCAGGCAAGGCACCCAGUGCAUCUCUCUGCCUGGGUUGUGGGUGCUGGGACUGUACGUGAGGCCUUUCUCUGCUGCAACAACAUUUGUCCUUCCCCACAGGGGUAGGAUUGUUUUUAUUAGUUUUCUGAUAAUACCUGGCACUACAGAGAAAUAGAGACUUGUUAUUGCAGUCUCAGAGCCUGAACCAACAUCGUAUGAAUGAAGGACAGAAAAGGCAAUGUGAAUCACUUAGUGACCGCAGAGUUCAGCAUGCCUAUCGCUUCCUUUUCAAGGAUGGCUUUGUUAUUGCAAAAACACGUGUAAAGCAUCAUACAGCAGCUCAGUAAUGCUGCUGUCACAGCAAAUUCAUUUUCUGCAGAAGAGAGGAAGAGAACAGCAGAGUUACAUACACUUGCAACCAAAUCUGCCCCUGGUUAUCACUUCUGCCAUAGCAAGAGCUGACAUCCUGCCUGCUAAGAACAUUAUCAGACCGAUGACAUGGAGAAUAUUGUUGUUGAACAGCCUAUUUUCAGCCAUCUUCACGGGGAGGGCAUUUUAUAAACAACAUGUUGGGGCUUUAACAGAACUAAAUACAAAUAACCUGAACUUUCCAUUGACACCAAUUUUAAGAUUAAAAUUCCUGAGUGCCAGCUCCCUGACAGAGAUGCUGGCCGGGCAGUCCUGCUGCUCCCCAUUGAGUCCAGAGCCACUUCACUGCUACCCACAUACUUGCGUGCAGCCAAAGAGCCCUGCGAAGCCAAAGAACCUGAAUUCACAUUGACAGUAACAGAGUUUGGUGUUUAGCCAGCUAAUAUUCUAAUUAUUUUACACUAAGCUUCCAUAUUCUUCACUGUUGGAUCAAAAGACCCUCAAAGACUAAGGUACCAGCACUUCUGCCCAUUUGAUAAAGAGCCGACAAAGCUCACACCGCUGUUUUGCAGGCACUAAAAGCUACACAACCAUUGUGUUAGCAGCUAGAACUUUUGAUACCCAAGAGCAAUAAGUAUUUGGCAAAGCAGAUUACUUUUAAAAUUAUCAUACUUUUUAGGAAAACAAAACAAGCCCCUAAAAAAACGAACCAAAAACCCGCCCCCCGAUUUUCCACAGACCAAAGUAAAAUGAUAACUGUCCCAGUGCAGUGAAGCCCAAAUGACUCAUUCGACUGAACCAGGAAUUGGUGCUGCGAGAUAUGAUUGUUUUACCUUAUCUGUGCCCAUUUCCUAAUGUGGAAAGAAUGAGAAGCCCAUGACAAGUGAAUUCAGCGUUAUUCAUAAAUUAUAUCAGGAUACAGCUGGGUAUUAUGCGAAACUCUACAGCACCAAAAUUCACGGAGAUUAUUGCAAGGAGCGGAUCUACUCUGGCAGAAGUGGGUUCAGCCUCAGGUUUUAAGUGAAGAGAUGGAUAAUAUUAUCUGUGAGCAUCUCCCUCAUUCUGGAGAACACGGUGAGAAUUCCUCUCGGUAUUUGAGAGCAUGUAUGGAGAUCUGCAUUCAUACCGUAAGACAGAGGAGAAAAAACACUCUCUGUAUCCUGGUGACAGUUUCUGCAUGUUUUCUAAAGCAUUAUUUUAAUAAAAAGGUCAGGUCUAUCA